AAGAGGAGGGAGGUGGGGCUCGGACGAUACCAACGGGAAUCCUACGGGGGGAAGCAGGGGAGUCGGGAGGAAGCCGAAGGAACCUGGCCCUCAAAGCGACUGUGCCACAGCCAAGAAAACUGGGAGCUUCUGCAAAUCGUUCUUCUUGCCCUCAGAUUACCAGACACGACGCAGCUGGACUUGUCUCAUGCCUGCGAUAGGGACGGCCCCCACCCUGACUUGCAUGGAACAGUCGACAUAAUGUGGCCUACUGCUUCCACCUGAGCGCCCCGCCAGGCUGUAAUUCCGCGGGCCCACGUGACCUCCGGGGCCGCGCCUUCCGGACGCAACUCCACUGGGGCGGAAGUUGGUUUUGUGCGGCUCUCAAGAACUAAGUUUGUGCUGUGCUGCGGGAUCCCCAGGGAGCUUCCUUAUAUCUUCGGCAGGACCCCUUCUUUUUUUCUUGAAGAUUGAUUUUGCUAGAAGUUAUCCUGUGAUGGGACUCCCUAGGGGAAUGGAGGCACCACGUGGUUAAGGAGUUUGUGCGUUGCCGCCCACAUAGUGUGGGCAGCUGAGGCGCCGCCCGGAUCAGAGCCGCAGGGCGUCUACUCUGUCACUUUCCCAACCUGACUUUUCCGGAUUGCUAUUUCAGACGGCGGUUGCAGCAGCCGACCUGUCUCAACUCCACCACUGUAGUCAGAGAAUCAAAAGCGGUCUGAGUUGCGAGGUCAUUGGGGAGGCCCCCACCCCCACAUUACCAGUGAGGAAACUGAGACUUAAAAAAGUGACCUGACCUGGACACGGGAUUGCCUGACAUCAGAGCUGGAUUCUUAAGUUCCUGUUAGUGUUAAGGCGCUGCUCAGACUUUUAGUAAAGGUGAGCGCCAUCUACUGCCAAGUCUCACAAAAUAUUCGCAAAAUUUGAUACGGUUAUCACAUGGUAAAAAUUAGACUUUAAAAGUUGUAUUUAAUGCUGUGUUUUCAGCUGUUGUACACUUAUGUAAUUUUAAUUAUGCAAAGUUAUCCUAAUAAUAUAGGAAUAUUAAUUGCUUUCGUGAGGUCUGUCUUGAUGUGCCACGAUGACUUUUUUGAUGUGCCAAAAAAGAUGACUACAUAGUGCUUUUACCUUUUUGCUCAAAUAGAAAGAUUUUAUUUCCCCUUGGGAUCUUUUCAGUGUCGUCCUUCUGUACCCUCAGGACUAUGAACAUUUGUUCCAAUGACUACGCUAGUUGGAGUAGUGUUGCUUGGAUGUAAACAAAAAGCUGAUAGUUUUGACUGAUCCAGCCCAGAAGCAUGAGAAUGCUGUCAGGGAAGUGAGCUCCCACCAUAAGCCCUUCAGAGAAGUGUCUGCUCUUCUCUCAGGAGGCCUCUCUCUAUAUUUAACACUUGACUAUCUGGCACCCAGACCAAAUGAAAGCGCAAGGCAACUUUAAUUUUUUUUUAAGGUUAAGAAUGUAAAUAGGGGCCGGACGCGGUGGCUCACGCCUGUAAUGCCAGCACUUUGGGAGGCCAAGGCGGGUGGAUCACCUGAGGUCCGGAGUUUGAGACCAGCUUGGCCAACAUGGUGUAAACCCCGUCUCUCCUAAAAAUACAAAA
rnacentral:lncRNA from 10 species